GAAACGACUGCUAAGACUGGAUAGGAGACAAGAAGGCAUCUUUUUGUUUUUAAAAGACCUAGCAAUAGGUAUGCUUAGGGAGGAGCUUGCGUCACAUUAGUUAGUUGGUGGGGUAAAGGCUUACCAAGACUAUGAUGUGUAGCCGGGCUGAGAGGUUGAACGGCCGCAUUGGGACUGAGACACGGCCCAAACUCCUACGGGAGGCAGCAGUAGGGAAUUUUCGGCAAUGGAGGAAACUCUGACCGAGCAACGCCGCGUGAACGAUGAAGUAUUUCGGUACGUAAAGUUCUUUUAUUAGGGAAGAAUAAAUGAUGGAAAAAUCAUUCUGACGGUACCUAAUGAAUAAGCCCCGGCUAACUAUGUGCCAGCAGCCGCGGUAAUACAUAGGGGGCAAGCGUUAUCCGGAAUUAUUGGGCGUAAAGGGUGCGUAGGCGGUUAAAUAAGUUUAUGGUCUAAGUGCAAUGCUUAACAUUGUGAUGCUAUAAAAACUGUUUAGCUAGAGUAAGAUAGAGGCAAGUGGAAUUCCAUGUGUAGUGGUAAAAUGCGUAAAUAUAUGGAGGAACACCAGUAGUGAAGGCGGCUUGCUGGGUCUUUACUGACGCUGAGGCACGAAAGCGUGGGGAGCAAACAGGAUUAGAUACCCUGGUAGUCCACGCCGUAAACGGUGAGUACUAAAUGUUGGGUAAAACCAGUGUUGAAGUUAACACAUUAAGUACUCCGCCUGAGUAGUACGUACGCAAGUAUGAAACUUAAAGGAAUUGACGGGACUCCGCACAAGCGGUGGACCAUGUUGUUUAAUUCGAAGGUACCCGAAAAACCUCACCAGGUCUUGACAUGCUUCUGCAAAGCUGUAGAAACACAGUGGAGGUUAUCAGUUGCACAGGUGGUGCAUGGUUGUCGUCAGCUCGUGUCGUGAGAUGUUGGGUUAAGUCCCGCAACGAGCGCAACCCUUAUUGUUAGUUGCCAGCACGUAAUGGUGGGGACUUUAGCAAGACUGCCAGUGAUAAAUUGGAGGAAGGUGGGGACGACGUCAAAUCAUCAUGCCCCUUAUGACCUGGGCUACAAACGUGAUACAAUGGCUGUUACAAAGGGUAGCUGAAACGUAAGUUUUUGGCGAAUCUCAAAAAAACAGUCUCAGUUCGGAUUGAAGUCUGCAACUCGACUUCAUGAAGUUGGAAUCGCUAGUAAUCGCGAAUCAGCAUGUCGCGGUGAAUACGUUCUCGGGGUUUGUACACACCGCCCGUCA
rnacentral:rRNA from 1 species